rnacentral:rRNA from 1 species
UAAGGCUAAAUACUGGUGGGAGACCGAUAGCGAACAAGUACCGUGAGGGAAAGUUUCAAAGCACUUUGAAAAGAGGGUGAAAAGAACCUGAAACCGUUAUGGGGGAAGCGUAUUGGGUCAAAUUGAUUUGGGGGAGUGCUGCUGUUCAACGGGGUGAUUCCCGUGUACUCAGUGCAUUUUCUUACCCGUCGUGUGCUUUGGAUGGUCGAUUUUGGGCUGUCUGGGGCUGAGGGAUCCCCUUUUAUAGGGUGAAGACGAUGGGGCGCUGACACGAUACGACCCGUCUUGAAACACGGACCAAGGAGUUCAGCAUGUGUGCGAGUCAAAGGGUGAUUAAACCUGGGGGCGCAGUGAAAGCAACUUUUGUGUAAGGGAAUCCAACAUUAAGCAGUUUCAGGCGGCAUACGAUCGUUGAUUGUAGGACUGACCUAGAGCACAUGUGCUGAGACCCGAAAGAUGGUGAACUAUGCCGGAGUAGGGCGAAGCCAGAGGAAACUCUGGUGGAGGCUCGUAGCGGUGCUGACGUGCAAAUCGCUCGUCUGACUCGGGUAUAGGGGCGAAAGACUAAUCGAACCAUCUAGUAGCUGGUUUCCUCCGAAGUUUCUCUCAGGAUAGCAGGCCGACGAAUAAGCAUGAAGUCUCAGUUGUUGUGUGCGGUAAAGCGAAUGAUUAGCGUAUUUGGGGGUGAUUAGCCUUC